GGUGCCUGCGGAGGGAUCAUUACACAAAUAUGAAGGCGGGCUGGAACCUCUCGGGGUUACAGCCUUGCUGAAUUAUUCACCCUUGUCUUUUGCGUACUUCUUGUUUCCUUGGUGGGUUCGCCCACCACUAGGACAAACAUAAACCUUUUGUAAUUGCAAUCAGCGUCAGUAACAAAUUAAUAAUUACAACUUUCAACAACGGAUCUCUUGGUUCUGGCAUCGAUGAAGAACGCAGCGAAAUGCGAUAAGUAGUGUGAAUUGCAGAAUUCAGUGAAUCAUCGAAUCUUUGAACGCACAUUGCGCCCUUUGGUAUUCCAAAGGGCAUGCCUGUUCGAGCGUCAUUUGUACCCUCAAGCUUUGCUUGGUGUUGGGCGUCUUGUCUCUAGCUUUGCUGGAGACUCGCCUUAAAGUAAUUGGCAGCCGGCCUACUGGUUUCGGAGCGCAGCACAAGUCGCACUCUCUAUCAGCAAAGGUCUAGCAUCCAUUAAGCCUUUUUUUCAACUUUUGACCUCGGAUCAGGUAGGGAUACCCGCUGAACUUAAGCAUAUCAUA
rnacentral:rRNA from 1 species